UCUCAGGCCUGCUCAGAUGGUUUAUGACCUUCGCUCCACUGCUUAGAUAAGCAGAAUACUUGAAGUCACUACUUGCAGAGAACAGGAAUCUAUAAACUCAUACCAUAAGAGAAAGGAAAAUUUGUUUUUCUCCUCCCUAUGUUGAGGGAGUGCUAGGAUAGACUUCAGGCCACAUUAGAUAGCAUUAUCAAGACUUUCCCUGGGUCUGGGCUGUGCCUGUUGCUGCUUCUGGGACAAGUCAGCCUAAUACAGGAAAACUUAUUUCUUUUUUUUAAAUUUUCUUUUUCUUUCUUUCUUUAAUUUCCCACCUCAGCGCAUGUCUGGUGAUAGGCACAGGAAGACGGACGCCACAGUUAGCGGGAACCCGCUUUACAAGUGAAAUAUCCCUGCGUUAUUGAAGCGAACUGGAGUCCCCCACCCAGCACAGCAAAGCCAAACACUGACAUGGGGCUAGCAGCGAGAGAAAAUGAGGAAAUUUUUGAAGGGCACCAAGCAAGGACAUUCAGGCAGCUCAUGCUUCAGGCCUGCACUCCCUGAUGGCUUACAGGAGGCAGGCCAACAACUUUGGGGUAAUGACAGUGGUGUA
rnacentral:lncRNA from 1 species